GUAGGUUAGGAAAAGGAAAUUUCACCCGUGUCUCGGCAACAUGUGAUGCCUCUAACAGUCUCUUAGAAUAGCCCGCCCAGCCAUGUCCUGUCGCUGUGGGCAGCGUUGUAAAAUGCCCCCGUUCAUGUAACUGGAGCAGAGUCACCCUUUUGUCGUCAGUGUGCCGUUAUAUUGAUUGAGUUGAAGAUGCUUGAAUUUUGUGCUGCUCAUCCGGUUUUUGCUUCAACUUUCUUACUUGUUGGAAACGAUUGUUUUGGCAAUGCUUCACGAUGUAUUGAUCGGUGCAAAGUGCACGUAUAUAUGGAGUACAAAGUGGGCCACAACCUCAACUAUACAAAGACUAGGAGGUGGGCCAUACUAUACAAUAUANNNNNNNNNNNNNNNNNNNNNNNNNNNNNNNNNNNNNNNNNNNNNNNNNNNNNNNNNNNNNNNNNNNNNNNNNNNNNNNNNNNNNNNNNNNNNNNNNNNNNNNNNNNNNNNNNNNNNNNNNNNNNNNNNNNNNNNNNNNNNNNNNNNNNNNNNNNNNNNNNNNNNNNNNNNNNNNNNNNNNNNNNNNNNNNNNNNNNNNNNNNNNNNNNNNNNNNNNNNNNNNNNNNNNNNNNNNNNNNNNNNNNNNNNNNNNNNNNNNNNNNNNNNNNNNNNNNNNNNNNNNNNNNNNNNNNNNNNNNNNNNNNNNNNNNNNNNNNNNNNNNNNNNNNNNNNNNNNNNNNNNNNNNNNNNNNNNNNNNNNNNNNNNNNNNNNNNNNNNNNNNNNNNNNNNNNNNNNNNNNNNNNNNNNNNNNNNNNNNNNUAGGCAGUCCUUUCGUCAUGACGUCGGCGAACUGCUGCGCCGUCGGGACGUGGAGGACCCGGAUGCGCCCAAGGGCCACCUGCUCACGAACGAAGUGUAUAUCGAGCUCAAUAUGCUUCGUUCGACGAUGAUGGACCGGGUUGGCGAAGAGGUAAACGGCGGAGACGUUGUCGCAGUAGACGAGCGUAGCCUUGUGAACAUCACAAAGCAACUCCUGGUGCAGCUGACGGAGCCAAAAGCAUUCAGCAACGACGUUAGCCACUGCUCGAUACUCAGCCUCGGCACUCGAGCGGGAGACGGUGGGCUGUCGCUUGGAAGACCAAGAGAUCAGGGACGGCCCAAGGUAGACACAGUACCCCGAGGUGGAGCGCCGUGUGUCCGGGCAGCCAGCCCAGUCCGCAUCAGAGUAGGCGACGAGGUCGGUGGAGGCGGAGGCCGUCAACGUAAGUCCCAAGGACUGGGUGCCGCGUAUGUAUCGAAGGAUACGCUUCACCAGAGUCCAGUGAGAGUCGCGCGGAGCAUGCAUGUGAAGACAGACCUGCUGAACGGCAUAUUGCAAGUCGGGGCGCGUCAGGGUCAGGUACUGCAGGGCGCCCACAAUGGAGCGGUAGAAGACCGCAUCAGAUGCAGGUGAACCCUCCAAAGCGGAGACCUUGGCCUUGGUGUCGACUGGCGUGGGAGCGGGCUUGCAGUUAAGCAUGCCAGCUCGGUCGAGAAGCUCAUGGGCAUAGCGCUGCUGAUGCAGGAAGAACCCAUCUGGCCGUCGAACCACCUCAAUGCCAAGGAAAUAAUGCAGAGGACCCAAGUCCUUCAGGGCAAACUCAUCACGAAGACGAGCAGUAAGCCGCUGGAGGAGCAGGACAGUGGAUGCCGUCAGAAUGAUGUCGUCGACGUACAACAGCAAGUAGGCCGUGUCAACUCCGUGAUGAUACACGAAGAGGGACGCAUCGGAGCGAGUCGAUGUAAAUCCGAGCGUCUGCAGGAAGGCGGCGAUGCGCUGGUACCAGGCUCGAGGUGCCUGCUUCAACCUGUAGAGCGAACGGGAGAGCAAGCACACAUGAUCUGGAUGCGUGGCGUCGACGAAGCCGGUGGGCUGCUCACAGAACACCUGCUCAGCCAGGUGGGCGUGCAAGAAGGCAUUGGACACAUCCAACUGAUGCACAGGCCAUGCUCGGGACACGGCUAGCUGGAGCACGGCGCGGAUCGUGCCCGGUUUAACAACCGGGGCAAAUGUGUCGGUGAAGUCCACGCCAGCGCGCUGCCGAAAACCCCGAACCACCCAGCGAGCUUUAUAGCGCUCGAGAGUGCCAUCCGGAUGAGUCUUGUGCCGAAAGACCCACUUGCCCGUGAUGAUGUUGGCACGGGGUGGACGGGGAACGAGUUGCCAGGUACGGUUCCGCUGGAGCGCAUCGAACUCUUCCUGUAUCGCAGCGAGCCAAUGAGGAUCCCGAAGGGCGGCUCGAGCGGACGAUGGGAGAGGAGACGGCUCAGAGGUGGAAGCAGCGAGAAGAUACUCAUCGCUGGGGUACCGCGUGCUCGGGCGAAGGGUGCCAGCCCGAGUGAAAGAACAUGCGGUGCCCCCAUGUUUGGUUUUGGUAAUUGAUGACAAUCUCUAUGGACUAAUGGUUGUCUUGAGUUAUAUUUGAAGGAUUUGUCCAUAGGAUUUUCUUGAAGUUCAUGUGUUGGUUUCAAGGAGUUUAUGAGUUGACCAAGGUGCUAUUAAGGAAUUAUCCAAAGAUUGGUCAUGCGAGUGUUGAGCUUAUUGCAAGCAUGUCUUGAAGAAGAAGGUUGUGUGAUCAUUCAUGUUUACCUUCAAUACAUCAUCCAAAUGAAGAGAGUUGCAAAGAUUUAAGGUUGAUCAAGACUAAGUCAAUAGUGAAUCAAGUUGAUCAACUCACAAAGCGUAGAAGAUGUACCGAGAGGGAUCAAGUGAUCCCAUGGUAUGGUAAGCAUUGUCCAUUGCACUUUGUGUACUAACCCAUGGUCUAUGUGAGAGUUCUAUGUGGGGUUAGGUACGUAUCCAUGGGCUUGCAUCAAGAGGAAGAUAUCAUACAACCCAUGGAAAGGAUGACAUCAAGUGGUGAUCGUCAUCAAGAUUGUCGUGUGCAAGUUCAAGUGGAGCAUCACGAAGAGAUCAAAUGCUUGAAUCUUGCCAUCCAUUGUGGUGUCAAUGGACUUGUGAAGAUGAGCCGAAGAGUGGCUCACCCAUAGUAGACUAUGGGGGAGCAAUCAUCUAGUCUUCAUCGAGCCAACGCAAUCAAGAAAGGUGGUCCAUCUUGAGGGAGUCAAGAUCGUCAUCAUCUAGCUCAAGUGGACCAUGUGCAAGGCAAAGGUUUGCCCUUGAUAGGUUUUCUAUUUUACCAGUCUCAUGGUGGUAGUAGGGAGACCGGGUUAUAUGAUCGUUUGCCGUACUAUCAAGGGGGGCUCUCAAGUUGGUAGCUUGAUCGUAUCGUUAAUAGAGAGCUCAAACCCUUGCAUCCUUGCAUCAUGUUUCUUGGUUCUUGUUUGGUUCUCUUUGUGAGUCUUAGAGCUUAUGGUCAUCUUGAUGACAAGCUUGAGUUCAUCGAAAACGGAGUUCACAUGCGUCUUCUAUGAUGUUUUCGGUGUUGGAGGUUUUACCGGUCUUUUCCGAGGAAGGGUUCUCACCAUUUUCCUUUGGGACUUUUAUCAUUUGCUUAUUCUUGAUAUUUCUAUCAAGAUUGUGUUAGCCCAUGUCGUUAGCUUUCCAAUAAACUUGGUUUCGUUGAAUUCGGAGUCCGUUUGCAAAAGUUGUGGCUGUUUUGGUAAAGGCUGCAGCGGUACUACCGCGACUAGAGCGGAUGUAAUUUUUUACUACCGCUCCAGAGCAGUACUACCGCGGCUCCUGAGCGGUAGUACCGCCCCAGAGCAGUACUACCGCGGCUCUUAAGCGGUAGUACCACUCCGGACCAAAAUCUCGUGUUUUGCUCAGCGGAAGUAGGCACAGAAGUAUUUUUUUUAGUACCGCUCGCAAGCAGUAGUACCGCUACCAUUUGUGGUAGUACCGUGAGGUCGAGCGGUAGUACCGUGAGGACAAGCGGUACUACCGCUCCGAAGGUUCUUUUGGCCUUUUUGCCUCCUCGCUGUUGUGUUUCGAAGGGGUACUACCGUCCUAGCGGUAGUACCGCUCCUUGGAGCGGUAGUACCGCUCUGUGCGGGCUGUGAGCAUAACGGUUGGAUUCGGGAGCUCCUAUAAAAGGGGGUCUUCUUCCCGAUUCAACUUUAUCCUUUGAGCUCAUGUUCUUUCCCCAUUGUUGACCUUCUUCGAGCUUGCUAACUCUCAAUCCCUCCAUGGAUUCUUGCUAGUUUUUGAGGGAAAAGAGAGAGGAGAUCUAGAUCCACAUUUCCACCAAUCACUUUCUCCUCUAUGUGAGGGGAACCCCUUGGAUCUAGUUCUUGGAGUUCUUGGUGUUCUCCUUGUUCUUCCUCUCAUUUUCCUCCCUAGCAUUAGUUGCUUCGGUGGGAUUUGAGAGAGAAGGACUUGGGCACUUCGUGUGCCCUUGCCAUUGCAUUUGGUGCAUCGGUUUGAGUUCUCCACGGUGAUACGUGGAAGUUACAAGUUGAGAAGCUUAUUACUCUUGGGUGCUUGGUGCCCUUGAGCUUGUUCCUCUUGGGUGCUUGGGUGCCCUAGACGGUUGGUGGUGUUCGGAGCUCAAUCAUUGUGGUGUAAAGCUCCGGGCAAGCGUCGGGGUCUCCAAUUAGGUUGUGGAGAUCGCCCCGAGCAAUUUGACGGGUACCGGUGACCGCCCCCAAGGGUUGCCAAAGUGUACGGGUUCGGUGACCGCCCCCAAGGGUCGCCAUUUGUACGGGUUCGGUGACCGCCCUCAAGGUUCCCUUAGUGGAAUCACGGCAUCUUGCAUUGUGCGAGGGCGUGAGGAGAUUACGGUGGCCCUAGUGGCUUCUUGGUUAGCAUUGUGCCUCCACACCCCUCCAAACAGAGAUUAGCAUCCGCAAGGGUGUGAACUUCGGGAUACAUCAUCGUCUCCGCGUGCCUCGGUUAUCUCUUACCCGAGCCCCUUUACUUAUGCACUUUACUUUGUGAUAGCCAUAUUGUUCUUUGUCAUAUAUCUUGCUAUCACAUAGUUGCUUAUCUUGCUUAGCAUAAGUUGUUGGUGCACAUAGGUGAGCCUAGUUGUUGUAGGUUUUGUGCUUGACAAAUUAACCACUAGGUUUAUUCCACAUUUGUUCAAGCCUAAAUCGUAAUUAUUUUAAAGCGCCUAUUCACCCCCCCUCUAGGCGACAUCCUCGAUCUUUCAAUUGGUAUCAGAGCCUCGUCUCUCUUUAUUAGGCUUUACCGCCUAGAGAGUAAAGAUGUCGACUAGGGGAUUAGGAUUCUCUGACACUCUUAGUUUCGAUGGCACAAAUUUUGAUGUUUGGGUAAUUCGCAUGCUUAAUCUCUUUAGGGUCAUGGACCCAAAUUUAGAGCGAAUUGUAGAUAUGGGUUUUUCUCCUCCAAAGGAUCCCCAAAGAUUAUCUUUAGAGGAUGAGAAAAACUCUUAUCUCAAUGCUCAAUCUUCUAAUGUGCUUUUCGAUGCUUUGAGCAAUGUAGUUAUAUUUCAACUCAUGCCGUUCCGAGAUGCUCAUGAGUUGUAGACGAAGCUUCAAGAUAAAUAUGGUGUGUCCAAGAUUUGUGGGGAUGAUUGUUCUCCCUCCACCUCCGGUCGUAUAGUCUUCUCAACUUCUUCUACUUCACCUACAUGUGGUUUUCCACAAGGUAAUGACAUGGUGAGUAGUGUUGGUCAUUGCAAUGAUGAUAGUAUGCUUAUUGUGGAUGAUCCUUCAUCACUAUAUUAUUGCAAUGCUCCUUCUUUGGGCUUUAACACUUCGAGCACUCCAAAUAUUUCACAUGCUUGUGUUGAUAGUCCUUUCAUAUCAUGUAGAAAUUGCUUGACUAAAUCUCAUGAUGAUAUGCUUGCUAUGUCUUGUUGCCAUGAUAAAAAUGCAUCUAUUUCCUUGAAUUGUUGUGCUAACAAUGUAGUGGAAAUCGAACACUCCAUGGAACAAGAUGUGGUGUUUAAUGGUGCCUCAAGGGAUCCUACAUCAUCAUCUAUUGCUUUUUGCCUUAUGGCUAAGGUGUCAAAGGUAUGUCCUACUUUGUACCCCAAUAUGUCUCUUGAUGAUGAUGUUGAUGCUAAUAAUGAUGAGGAUAAUGAUGAAGAGAAUGAUAAUGUUGCCUCCUUAAAAACUAAGGGGGAAAUGAUUUUUAAAGCUCUUCAUAAAAAUAAAAUUGCUCGUUCCAACUUCAUGGAAAUAAUGUCCAUUGCCAUUGAUGGCAAGAAAUACAUUGAGGAGUUGGAAUCUCAUCUAGAGGAGCAUGAGGCCACCAUUGAUAAAAUGGAAGGUCAUGGGCGUGAUUACGCUAAUGAGAUUGCGGACCUCUCUCAAGCUCUUGAACUUGAACAAACCACCAAGGAAUCUCUUGAGGAGACUUUUGCUCUAGAAUUGUCUAAAGUGAAGGAAUCUACUGAUAGAGCUCUUAAGGUGGCCAAUGUUUUUGAAACCAAAAAUGCUAAGCUUGAAGUUGCUCAUGCUAGACUCCUUGAGGAUUUUGAGCACCUCGAAAAUGGCUCAAGGGUCAUCAAGGGUGAGCUCAUCAAACUCACCGAGUCUCAUGCUCAACUUGAAGCUUCUUAUUUAAAAGAGCUUGCCAAAUUGCCUUCUCCUCUUGUUGUUAAUGAUGAUGCUUGUGCUACUAAUUCUAUUACUUGUGAAGCAUCCAUUUUGAAGGAGAAUGUUGAGCUACGGGCUCAACUUGAGGUGCUAUCUUGCAAUUAUGGGAAAUUGGAAGAAAGUCAUGAAAAGAUCUCAAGCUCUCAUGAUGAUCUUCUAGUAUCCCAUAGUGUGCUAAAGAUAGCUCAUGAGGCCAUGAUUGCUAAGGUAACAUCUAGUGAGCCUCAUGUGGAUACUAGCACUACUUCUAGUCAAAAUAGUAUAUUGCCAUGUGCUAGUCCUUGUAAUUCAUCUACUCACAAUGUUGGUACAUCUUGUGAUGAAUUGCUUUCCUUGCCUUGUUGCUCUAACGAUGAAGCUUAUACUUCCUCUAGUACUUGUGUUGAGACUAACCAUGUAGAGGAAAUCAAAGAGCUCAAGGCCCAAGUCACUUCUUUGAAGAAAGACUUGGAAAAGUGUCAUGAAGGGAAGGCCACACUCAACAAUAUCUUGAGUGUGCAAAAAUCCCCCAAUGACAAAGGUGGACUUGGAUUCAACUCCAACAAGAAGAAGAAGUCCAAGUUGAACAAGAAGAAGAGCCAAGAACAAGUCAAGAAUUCGGCCAAGAUUAUUUGCUUCAAGUGCAAAGUUGAAGGGCAUCAUGUUAGAUCGUGCCCAUUGAAGAAGAAGGCCAUUAGUGUCAAGCAACAAGGGAAGAGGGAACACGUUCAAUCUCAUGCUCAACAUCAAGUUGAAGAAAGGCCUCUUCCCAAGAAGACUCAAGUUAAUGCUUCUCAAAUUGAGAAAUCAAGUGAGAAGAAAGUGAAGAGUAGACGUUGCUACUUAUGUCGUGAGAAAGGUCACGUCGCUUCUUCAUGCACUAGUGGUAACUUAUCCAACCCAAUUAUUAUUGAUGAUAUCUAUUCUCUUGGUAAGGAUAAGGUUGGCAAUGUGUUUGCCAAGUUUGUUGGUACUCAAAGUGGUGUCAAGCAAAGAACCAUUUGGGUAGCCAAACCUAUUGUGACUAACCUCUUAGGACCCAACUUGGUUGGGGACCAACAAGAUCAAACUUGAUCAAUAGGUGUUGUUGGAGGGCAUUGGAGACUUGGCUACAUUAUGAAGAAUUAAGGGGACUUCAUCAUUCUCAUUGUCUCAAGCCAAGUCAAUUGGAUUAUCAAGUUUCUAUCUUAUAUCCACUGUGCCUCCUUGCGGUAACUUGUACUUAAAUUGUUUACCUUGAAAGUUACUUGCCCCCUUGCAUGUUUUGGUUUUGUUCCUUGCAUGUGUUUGUAUAUGUUGCGCUUCCAACUUGCUUAUCUUGAGCAAUCAAGUAUGUGUGUGUUGGUUUGCACAUCAUGUACGUGUGCGUCGUGCGUUGAGCCUUUUUGCUUCCUGUUUGUAUCCUAGUUGGCUCGUGUGAGAUAUCAAUGGAACAUCCCAUUUUGGGGGAGUGAUGUGCUUUGUGCACCUCACAAUCCUAUAAAUGUGUGUACAUGAGGAAUACCAUCUAGUAUUGAUAUUACAAGAUUAUCUAGUCGCUAGGUGCUAUAUCUCUCAUGAGAAAUUCAAAUUCUAAAAAUUCCAUUGAUUAUCUCGUGUUGGAUCCUCUUAUUGCCUCUUGUUUAGUUCUUAUUGGUAUCACAUUAUGGGGGAGUAAUAUGCUAAGUGCAUAUUACAAGCCUAGAAAAUAUGUACAUUUGAGAUAUUGUCACCUAGAAUUGAUAUUGUAAAUUAUCUUGUUCCUAGGUGGCAUGUUAGCUCUACAAGUUGCAAUUUUCUUGUGUGUGGUGUGAAGAUGAUGUUGGAUAUCCUUGCUAUCUACCACCGGGAAUUCUUUCCAUCUAUUUCUUGUCUUUUGACAAUCGGUAGUCACUUAUGUGUGGUAGAAUUUAAUUGAUCAUCUUUACAUUGGCUUUUGUUUAUUUACCUUUUUUCUCUUGCCAAGGUUUGUGUUAACUCCCAUUGUCUUCCAUACCACUUGUGGAUCUUGUUUAUUUCUUGUUCUUGUCUAGUGUUUUCUAGAUAUAGUGAAAGCAGUGAUCCCACCUUGUGCAUUUUGUAUUCAAAUACAAAUCCUAUAUAAUGCACAACUCGUGGGGGAGCUAUUCUAUUUUCUUCACUCUUCUUGUGAUCCUUAUCAAGUGUGUUUUGGUGGAAGGCAAGCCAUUUCUUUUUGGUACUUUGUGCCAUCAUGAAACUUUGUUGAGAGCUUGGUAUGUUUGGAACCAUUCUCUCUUUGGGAGUUUGACAUCUUUAGUUUAGUGUGUAUCAAUGGAUAUCUCAUUCCUUGAUGUAUCUUUAAUGAUAUCUUCCAAGUAAUGAUUUCUCCAUUUGGUAUCCUUUUCACUUGGCGUUUAUUUGUCUUUUGGUUUCGGGUUUUGAAAGUCUUGAGCAUGCAUGUUUACUUCAUGUAUUUCAUUUGGCAUGCUUUCUUUCUUUGACUCAAUAUAUAUGGGAAACUCCACCUAGUCUCAAUUUGGAUGAGAUGUGCAUGAAAUUCAUUUUCAUAUCUAUAUGCACAUAUUUAUGUGGAGUUUGUCCUAUGUAUUGGUGUUUCUAACUAUUUGGUCCCGAUGAGUUUGGGUACCGUUUAGUUUGUGUUGUUCUUCUAGGAACAUUUGGAGAUGCAUUGGAUGCUCGGCUCACUCACAAGGAAGGUGUUGUCACCAUGUGCAUAUUGGAGUCAAGCUAGGAUGAUCAAUGAACUACUAUCUACCUUCAAUUGGUAUCUACUACAUCCUUCCAAUGAUAUCUCGGUAACAAGUAUCUAUUCAUGCUUUCUCCUCUUGCAUUCAACCUUGUGUAGGUUGCAUCUUGGCAUGAUUUUCAUUUCAUAUCUUGUUAUACUUGUUUCCUUUCUCAAAGCAUCCCAACGAUGAUCUCUUGUUGCUAGUUGUGAUGCCCUUGAUGGAUGUGUGUUUGGACUUCAUUUAUAUACAAUAAGACCAUAUCUAGCCAAGUGCUAUGCUUUCAAGCAAAUAUCUUAUUGGUAUAUUUAUGACUUCCUUGUGGAUAUCUUGUUCCUUCGUGUUGUAACUAUUUCGGGUGUACAUUCUUCUUUGUAUAUAUAUAUAUCAUCAUGAUUUCGUCUACAUAGAACCUUAUACACUUGAGAGAAAUUACAUCUCUAGUUGAUAUCCUUUCUUUCACGUCCACCUUGUCUUUCUUAUGUUAUUUCUUUUGUGGCUCCGUGAAAGCUUUUGCCUUGAGUGCGUGUCCUCUAUCGUUGCAUCUUGAUGCACUCUUGUGUGGUGAAGAUUAUUUUCCUCAUGCUUAUCGUUACGAGGCUUUUGCCAUCUUAAUUGGCAUGCCUCGUCUUGAUGAGGCUUUCAUCUUCUAUCUUCACCACGGGUUGUCACAAGCAUAAGUUAUUUAUAUGCUUAUUAGUAAGCUUAUGAACCCAUUUGCUGGUUGUGUGUGGGAAUGACAGGCCUUGCACCGUGUGCCUCAUUCUUUCAAGACUAUGUUGAUGCUUAAUACUCAUCCUAAUUUUAGUCUUCUCAAGUGCUUCGCCAUGACUCACACACAUCAUUUUGGUUGAGCCCAUUCUUAAGUUGCCUCUUUUACUUGUUGCUCAACCAUGUGUUUGUUGCAAGUACUAGGCUUUGUUUCCUAUAUGCUCACUUGCACUUGUUGUAAGUUUCUAUUGAUUUUGGGGGAGCUAUGAUCCUAUUUUGUGCACUUUCUAUCCAAUUACAAAACCUUCUUUUUUGUGCACAAAUCAUGGGGAGCUUCUCUAGUUUCUUUAGAACACUCCUCGUCUCAUAUCAUAAUAUCCUUCAUUCAUGUGGCUCAUAGGAUCUUUGGUCUAGUUGGUUCAAUUGAUAUCCUUUGAUUGCUUGCUUCAAUUGGUAUCUUUUGAUUGCUUGAUUGCUUGUUUCUCUCUUUGUUAUGUCUUUGUGGCAUAUCAUUCUUUUGCAAUCUUUGGGCCUCAAUAUAGUUUGUGUUCCUCCAAGUAUUAACCGUUGGAUAUGUGUAUUGCAUUCCACUCUCUUGUUGAAAAAUACACAAUUUAUGGAGGACCACAAUUUAUAUUGGUCUUCUUAGCUUUUCGCCCAUUUUGGCAAUCGAUGCCAAUGGGGGAGAAGUUUCAGAGAGUUUUGCGGAGAAGUUUAGAGAGUUAUCUCCUCUUGCUUUGGUUUUGUUCCUUAGCAUUUGCAUCUCAUACGCAUGCACUAUUGGUUGUUGUAUUGCAUAGUGAAGCAUAAUUCCUUAUAUAAACUCUCUUGAAAGUGAUUUUCAUCAAUUACCAAAAUGGGGGAGAUUGAAAGAACAUGCGGUGCCCCCAUGUUUGGUUUUGGUAAUUGAUGACAAUCUCUAUGGACUAAUGGUUGUCUUGAGUUAUAUUUGAAGGAUUUGUCCAUAGGAUUUUCUUGAAGUCCAUGUGUUGGUUUCAAGGAGAUUAUGAGUUGACCAAGGUGCUAUUAAGGAAUUAUCCAAAGAUUGGUCAUGCGAGUGUUGAGCUUAUUGCAAGCAUGUCUUGAAGAAGAAUGUUGUGUGAUCAUUCAUGUUUACCUUCAAUACAUCAUCCAAAUGAAGAGAGUUGCAAAGAUUUAAGGUUGAUCAAGACUAAGUCAAUAGUGAAUCAAGUUGAUCAACUCACAAAGCGUAGAAGAUGUACCGAGAGGGAUCAAGUGAUCCCAUGGUAUGGUAAGCAUUGUCCAUUGCACUUUGUGUACUAACCCAUGGUCUAUGUGAGAGUUCUAUGUGGGGUUAGGUACGUAUCCAUGGGCUUGCAUCAAAAGGAAGAUAUCAUACAACCCAUGGAAAGGAUGACAUCAAGUGGUGAUCGUCAUCAAGAUUGCCGUGUGCAAGUUCAAGUGGAGCAUCACGAAGAGAUCAAGUGCUUGAAUCUUGCCAUCCAUUGUGGUGUCAAUGGACUUGUGAAGAUGAGCUGAAGAGUGGCUCACCCAUAGUGGACUAUGGGGGAGCAAUCAUCUAGUCUUCAUCGAGCCAACACAAUCAAGAAAGGUGGUCCAUCUUGAGGGAGUCAAGAUCGUCAUCAUCUAUCUCAAGUGGACCAUGUGCAAGGCAAAGGUUUUCCCUUGAUAUGUUUUCUAUUUUACCGGUCUCAUGGUGGUAGUAGGGAGACCGGGUUAUAUGAUCAUUUGCCGUACUAUCAAGGGGGGCUCUCAAGUUGGUAGCUUGAUUGUAUCGUUAGUAGAGAGAUCAAACCCUUGCAUCCUUGCAUCAUGUUUCUUGGUUCUUCUUUGGUUCUCUUUGUGAGUCUUAGAGCUUAUGGUCAUCUUGAUGACAAGCUUGAGUUCAUCGAAAACGGAGUUCACAUGCGUCUUCUAUGAUGUUUUCGGUGUUGGAGGUUUUACCGGUCUUUUCCGAGGAAGGGUUCUCACCAUUUUACUUUGGGACUUUUCUCAUUUGCUUAUUCUUGAUAUUUCUAUCAAGAUUGUGUUAGCCCAUGUCGUUAGCUUUCCAACAAACUUGGUUUCGUUGAAUUCGGAGUCCGUUUGCAAAAGUUGUGGCUGUUUUGGUAAAGGCUGCAGCGGUACUACCGCGACUAGAGCGGAUGUAAUUUUUUACUACCGCUCCAGAGCAGUACUACCGCGGUUCCUGAGCGGUAGUACCGCUCCAGAGCAGUACUACCGCGGCUCCUAAGCGGUAGUACCGCUCCGGACCAAAAUCUCAUGUUUUGCUCAGCGGAAGUAGGCACAGAAGUAUUUUUUUAGUACCGCUCGCAAGCAGUAGUACCGCUACCAUUUGCGGUAGUACCAUGAGGUCAAGCGGUAGUGCCGUGAGGACGAGCGGUACUACCGCUUCGAAGGUUCUUUUGGCCUUUUUGCCUCCUCGCUGUUGUGUUUCGAAGGGGUACUACCGCCCUAGCGGUAGUACCGCUCCUUGGAGCGGUAGUACCGCUCUGUGCGGGCUGUGAGCAUAACGGUUGGAUUCGGGAGCUCCUAUAAAAGGGGGUCUUCUUCCCGAUUCAACCUUAUCCUCUGAGCUCGUGUUCUUCCCCCAUUGUUGACCUUGUUCGAGCUUGCUAACUCUCAAUACCUCCAUGGAUUCUUGCUAGUUUUUGAGGGAAAAGAGAGAAGAGAUCUAGAUCCACAUUUCCACCAAUCACUUUCUCCUCUAUGUGAGGGGAACCCCUUGGAUCUAGUUCUUGGAGUUCUUGGUGUUCUCCUUCUUGUUCUUCCUCUCAUUUUCCUCCCUAGCAUUAGUUGCUUCGGUGGGAUUUGAGAGAGAAGGACUUGGGCACUCCGUGUGCCCUUGCCAUUGCAUUUGGUGCAUCGAUUUGAGUUCUCCACGGUGAUACGUGGAAGUUACAAGUUGAGAAGCUUAUUACUCUUGGGUGCAUGGUGCCCUUGAGCUUGUUCCUCUUGGGUGCUUGGGCGCCCUAGACGGUUGGUGGUGUUCGGAGCUCAGUCAUUGUGGUGUAAAGCUCCGGGCAAGCGUCGGGGUCUCCAAUUAGGUUGUGGAGAUCGCCCCGAGCAAUUUGACGGGUACCGGUGACCGUCCCCAAGGGUUGCCAAAGUGUACGGGUUCGGUGACCGCCCCCAAGGGUCGCCAUUUGUACGGGUUCGGUGGCCGCCCUCAAGGGUCCCUUAGUGGAAUCACGACAUCUUGCAUUGUGCGAGGGCGUGAGGAGAUUACGGUGGCCCUAGUGGCUUCUUGGGGAGCAUUGUGCCUCCACACCGCUCCAAACGGAGAUUAGCAUCCGCAAGGGUGUGAACUUCGGGAUACAUCAUCGUCUCCGCGUGCCUCGGUUAUCUCUUACCCGAGCCCCUUUACUUAUGCACUUUACUUUGUGAUAGCCAUAUUGUUCUUUGUCAUAUAUCUUGCUAUCACAUAGUUGCUUAUCUUGCUUAGCAUAAGUUGUUGGUGCACAUAGGUGAGCCUAGUUGUUGUAGGUUUUGUGCUUGACAAAUUAACCUUUAGGUUUAUUCCGCAUUUGUUCAAGCCUAAACCGUAAUUAUUUUAAAGCGCCUAUUCACCCCCCUCUAGGCGACAUCCUCGAUCUUUCACCGAGAGCGAGUUAUCGGGUGGGGCAGCGGGUCCGGAGGGGAGGCUGGUGAGGAUGAAGACGAGCCCGCCUCCGGUGUGGCCGCCGCGGGCGAGGCUGCCGGCGUGGCGGCGGGCGAGGCCACCGCGGGCGAGGCCGGGGACACCGGGGGCGUCGCGGGCGUCAAGGGAGGUGCGGCCCCUACGACAGCCAAUCGGGGAGAGACUCGACCCGUGGCGCGGGGGGCACCCUCAAAGCCGGGAGGCGGCCCAAGAGAGGCAUGUGGGCGGCCAUCACCGGGAGCGGGCAAGGCCGCAACAUCCGAAGGUACCUGCUGGAACGGAAAAACCAUCUCAUCAAAGUAAAUGUGUCGUGAAGUGAUCACCCGAUGAGAGAUAGGAUCAUAGCAGCGGUAGCCUUUGGUGUUAGGAGGAUAGCCGAGAAAAAUACAGGCCACAGACCGAGGUGCGAGCUUAUGAGAAGCAGUGGAAGCGAUGCUAGGGUAGCACAGGCAACCGAAGAUGUGGAGCUCAGCAUAGGAGGGUGGCGUGCCAAACAAGAGGUGAUGAGGUGCAAAAUUCCCGCGAGUGCGACAAGGACGAAUGUUAAUGAGUAGUGAUGCGGUGGCAAGCGCGUCGGACCAAAAACGUGGGGGCACGUUGGCGUGAAAGAGGAGGGUGCGAACGCAGUCAUUGAGAGUGUGAAGCAUGCGCUCAGCGCGGCCGUUUUGUUGCGAAGUGUACGGGCAAGUGAGACGAAAGAUUGUGCCGUGUGUGGCGAGAAGGUUGCGGAUCGCAAGGUUAUCGAACUCCUUCCCGUUGUCUGUUUGCAACGCAUGAAUGGGACAUCCAAACUGCGUGGAGACAUAGGAGUAGAAGGUGGUGAGAGUGGCAACAGAGUCCGACUUUCGCCGUAACGGGAAGGUCCACACAUAGUGCGAAAAAUCAUCAAGUAUGACAAGGUAAUAAAGAUGGCCCGUGUUACUUGCAACAUGAGAGGUCCAGACAUCACUAUGAAUUAACUCAAAUGGGUAUGAUGCAACAUGCGAGGAAUUGCUAAAAGGAAGAUGAACAUGUUUGCCGAGGCGACAAGCAUGACAAGUGUGAUCGUCGAUCUUAUUACACGUGAAUGAAAAACUCCGAAGAAUAUGAUGAAGGGUGGCGAUGUUGGGAUGACCGAGACGCGCGUGCCAAAGGUCCACUCUGGCGGAAAGCGCCAUGGGUGCAACAAUGAAUGAGGUAGGUGAGUGGACCGGGUAGAGCUCGUCGGGGCUGUAACAUCAGUGGAGCACCAUCCGGGUGCGGGAAUCCUUGACAGAAAAGCCAAACAUGUCAAAUUCAACGGUAACAGGAUUUUCACGUGUAAGAGAACGAAUGGAAACAAGAUUUUUAAUGAUGUCAGGAGAAACAAGCACAUUAGAAAGAUAUAAUGGCAUGGAGUUAGAAGGAAAAGCAGCAUGGCCGACAUGAGUAAUGGGCAUGGAAGAACCAUCACCCACGGUAAUGCGAGCAGCGGUGUGAACGGGAUGAGCGGCAAGAAGGUUACCAGGGUUGGCGGCCAUGUGAGCCGUGGCUCCGGUGUCCAUAUACCAAUCGCUACCGCCAGUGUACUGCUGUGGCGUGGGGGCGGUGUGGAGAGCCGCUAGGAGCGCGGGAUCCCAAGGCGCCGGCGGAAGGGCCGGGGCGGACGGCGCCGGUUGAGGCGGUGGCGCCACAAACCCAUAGCCCGAGGGGCCGUAGAGCAGCGCGGGCUGGUACACCUGAGGGGCCGCGUACAGGGCCUGAUGAGGGGCUGGGCGGGCGCCGAAGGAGCCGGGGACGGGGGCACGCGGUAUAGGCAUGGAAUACGCGUGCACAACCCCCGUCCAAGGGUUCUAGCCGGCCUGCCAGGGAGCCGGUGGUAGCUGGUGCUGCGGCUGGCGGGGCGCCCCGCCGUGGGCAGCCGGCAGCUGCGGCAGCUGCGGCUUGCGGCCACCUCGGCCGCGACGCCCGCCCUGGCGCUGCUGCUGCUCGGUGGGGGGCGGAGGGGCCUGCGGCGGCGCCGGGUAGGGAAACCCGGGCGGCGGCGCCUGGAAGGAGCCCGGGGCGGGCCGCGGCAGUGGGCGGCGCACAGCCACGGGUACCGACGGUGAGAGCCGUGUGGGUGGCCCGGGUGCGCGACAUCCGCAUCUGCCGCUCCUCCUGCUUCAGGUACGCGACGAUCUUGGGGAAGGUCGGAUUGGUGAUGAGGGGGAUGUUGGAGGCGGCGUUCCCGAAGUCGUCGUUCAGGCCGGCGAUGAGGGUGUUGAGGAGAAGCUCAUCAGAGACCUUCUCGCCGAGGUCACGGAGCUCGUCAACAAGUUUCUUGAGGCGCAUGCAAUAAUCGUCAACAGACGACUCAAGCUGUUGGCACCCAAAAAACUCGCCGUGCAAGAAGACCUUGCGUUGGAGCGCGUUGUCGAUGAAGAGGCCGUUGAGCUUGGUCCAAACGGCGUGAGCGUCAUCGUCGGCGGAGACCACCGUGUGGAAGAGGUCCUUCGAGAUGGUGGUGUAGAACCAAUGGAUGAGAGUGGCGUCGAUGGCCGUCCACUCCUCAUCGUCCUCCAUGAAGCGGGAGUCCACGGAGCCAUCUAUGUGAUCCCGGAGAUUGUACUCACGGAACACGAGGGAGAAGUACGUCUUUCAGGCGUAGUACAUGGAGGUGAGGUGGUCGAGGACGACGGGAACCCGGGCGAGGAUGUUGAGGUCGCGGAUGACGACGGGAUCGGGACCUUCGAACGGGUUGGUGCGGCGGCUGCGGGUGGUACUGGUGGAACCGGGGGAGGCCAUGGCCUAGAGGGGCGGUGUGGCGGCGCUUGGGCGGCGGCGCGGCAGGGAGGAAGGCGGCGUGGCUNNNNNNNNNNNNNNNNNNNNNNNNNNNNNNNNNNNNNNNNNNNNNNNNNNNNNNNNNNNNNNNNNNNNNNNNNNNNNNNNNNNNNNNNNNNNNNNNNNNNNNNNNNNNNNNNNNNNNNNNNNNNNNNNNNNNNNNNNNNNNNNNNNNNNNNNNNNNNNNNNNNNNNNNNNNNNNNNNNNNNNNNNNNNNNNNNNNNNNNNNNNNNNNNNNNNNNNNNNNNNNNNNNNNNNNNNNNNNNNNNNNNNNNNNNNNNNNNNNGGCGAUGAGAUCGCGGCAGCGGCGGCGGCACGGGUUUGGGUUAGGAUCGUAGGUCUGAUACCAUGUUGGAAACGAUUGUUUUGGCAAUGCUUCACGAUGUAUUGAUCGGUGCAAAGCGCACGUAUAUAUGAAGUACAAAGUGGGCCACAACCUCAACUAUACAAAGACUAAGAGGUGGGCCAUACUAUACAAUAUACUGCCUCCAUUCCAAAAUAGAUGACUCAACUUUAUACUAAAGUUAGUACAAAGUUGGGUCAUCUAUUUUAGAACGGAGGCAGUACAUGCAUAAACCAUAUAUUCAACGUUACUAAUUGUCUUGACUCUCUGAUUUUACCGUGCGGCCUUAUGGUGCCAGUGAAGGAUGGGUGGCUGUCGUCG
rnacentral:lncRNA from 1 species